rnacentral:rRNA from 1 species
AACGAACGCUGGCGGCAUGCCUAACACAUGCAAGUCGAACGAUGGCUUCGGCCAUAGUGGCGCACGGGUGCGUAACGCGUGGGAACCUGCCCUUAGGUUCGGAAUAACUCAGAGAAAUUUGAGCUAAUACCGGAUAAUGUCUUCGGACCAAAGAUUUAUCGCCUUUGGAUGGGCCCGCGUAGGAUUAGCUAGUUGGUGGGGUAAAGGCCUACCAAGGCGACGAUCCUUAGCUGGUCUGAGAGGAUGAUCAGCCACACUGGGACUGAGACACGGCCCAGACUCCUACGGGAGGCAGCAGUGGGGAAUAUUGGACAAUGGGCGAAAGACCUGAUCCAGCAAUGCCGCGUGAGUGAUGAAGGCCUUAGGGUU